ACCUUUGCGUCAGUUUUAGGUUCGAUUGUAGUUUUACAAAAGACAAAAGGGAAUUCGGUGUAAAUCCGAGACUGUAUCUGCAGCUGUAACUCUUAAUUAAAACGGUCUUCAACAAAUCCACUGUCCUGCAUGUGCGGGGUGGGAAGGAGAAGUAACCGGAGAGAAGUCAGAAUACCUGCCUUGAACAAGAAUGAAUG
rnacentral:ncRNA from 2 species